AAGGUGCAAAUGUAAGUUGAACAAUUAGAAUCGGAGUUUUAUCAUAAAAACAUGGCUUCUGACAUAUCAUGGGAUGCUAUAAUUUUGGGUUUGAUCCUAUAUUUUCUACUUAUAGGACUGUUGUUCAUUGUAAACGAAGCCUUUUGCAAGACCGCAUGUUUGAACAAUGCUAGACGAAUCCAGGGCGGCGAGGUUGUGUCUGACAUCGAAUUAAAUGAAAGAAAACCUCAGGCGAGACAAGGAAAAGAAGAUUUCAAAUACAACAAUUCGUAUGUAAUUUAAGUUUCCAUCAAACUGUCUGUUAUGUCUUGAAUACAAAUCAAAAUCAUCUAAGUUUUGUAAAUGAAACACGAUUUUAUUUGUUUUUAAUAUUUAUUUCCUUAAAAUAAUCCCUAUACCUAAUUAAUUAAUUAAUUAAAGCAGUUUUCAAUAAAUACAGUUCUUACUGCACUUGAACCAGUUUUGUUUUCUUAAUUUUAAUUUCUUAAAAGUAUAACGUUAACAAACACCAUUGCUUAUCACCUAUAUUUGGAUCACAGAUUCUUAUUCUUCAGGGAAGAUUUUGUUCAUCGGUACUUUGUCGAAUAUUUUGUUUGUAACAUCUUGGAAUACGGAGCUGAGACUCUUUUCGUACGAAUCCUUAAGUUCGUUGAAAACGAGUUCGGAA